UUUUGUUUCCUUAUUUAUUAAUUUACUUUUUCUUUCUCUUGGCAGGUUUUUAUAGUUUAUGACUAGAAGAAACCCGUCAGGACCCCUACUUUUUGACGAAGAAAUCGAUCGAAUAGUUUGUAGAAAUCAAAGAGAAAUAAGGCAUAGUUUACGAUACACAGAAAACGAACAAGAAGACAAUACUCAACCUCCAACUGACGAGAUGGCUGAAAACCAAGACAAUUAGCUGCCUCCUGCAAUUGUAGCUAACCAAAAUCCUGCUCCACGUACUAUGUAUGACUAU
rnacentral:lncRNA from 1 species